rnacentral:rRNA from 1 species
GAUCGAGUGGCGAACGGGUGAGUAACGCGUGAGGAACCUGCCUCAAAGAGGGGGACAACAGUUGGAAACGACUGCUAAUACCGCAUAAGCCCACGGGUCGGCAUCGAUCUGAGGGAAAAGGAGUGAUCCGCUUUGAGAUGGCCUCGCGUCCGAUUAGCUAGUUGGUGAGGUAACGGCCCACCAAGGCGACGAUCGGUAGCCGGACUGAGAGGUUGAACGGCCACAUUGGGACUGAGACACGGCCCAGACUCCUACGGGAGGCAGCAGUGGGGAAUAUUGCACAAUGGGGGAAACCCUGAUGCAGCGACGCCGCGUGGAGGAAGAAGGUCUUCGGAUUGUAAACUCCUGUUGUUGAGGAAGAUAAUGACGGUACUCAACAAGGAAGUGACGGCUAACUACGUGCCAGCAGCCGCGGUAAAACGUAGGUCACAAGCGUUGUCCGGAAUUACUGGGUGUAAAGGGAGCGCAGGCGGGAAGACAAGUUGGAAGUGAAAUCUAUGGGCUCAACCCAUAAACUGCUUUCAAAACUGUUUUUCUUGAGUAGUGCAGAGGUAGGCGGAAUUCCCGGUGUAGCGGUGGAAUGCGUAGAUAUCGGGAGGAACACCAGUGGCGAAGGCGGCCUACUGGGCACCAACUG